rnacentral:rRNA from 1 species
AUGCUCACACAGAGCGGCCACCCCGUCGCAUACCUCAGCAAGGCCUUGGGCGUCAAGAAUCAGAAGUUGUCCACCUACGAGAAGGAGUUCUUGGCGGUGAUGAUGGCGAUCAACAAGUGGCGGCCGUACUUGCAUCGCGCUCCGUUCGAGAUCGUCACUAACCACAAGAGCCUGUGUGCGCUUACUGAUCAGCAACUGGCUACGGACCUCCAACGGAAAGUCAUGUCCAAGCUGGUGGGUCUACAGUUCUCCUUCCGCUAGAAGAAAGGCGUCGACAAUGGAGCAGCGGACGCGUUGUCCCGCGCCGGCCAUCUUCUCGCGCUCGACGCUCUCUCUCUGUGCUAG